CAGAAUCACCGGAGAAAGAAGACUCUGUUUAGCUUGACUUUAGUCCGACUAUGUGAAGAGACAUGGCGGGUUAAUUAAUGAGUGGGAGGCGGGAAUCGCCCUUCGGGGUGUCUCGUUCGACAAUGAAAGACCACCCCCAUUAAUUGUUUCUAUACCUUUACAGUGAAGCGGGAAUUGUCCAGGUGCACUAUGAAGUAGCGUCAUAGUGCUUGUUGAACCGGUGGAAAACUUUCUGUAUGGUCCAAGGGUAAUACCUCUCAGUCGUUAACUGGAUGGUUACCCCGCCUUUGAACGGAAUAAU
rnacentral:ncRNA from 1 species